rnacentral:rRNA from 1 species
GACGAACGCUGGCGGCGUGCCUAAUACAUGCAAGUUGAGCGAUGAAGCUUGGUGCUUGCCCCAAUUUGAAGAGCAGCGAACGGGUGAGUAACGCGUGGGGAAUCUGCCUUUGAGCGGGGGACAACAUUUGGAAACGAAUGCUAAUACCGCAUAACAACUUUAAACAUAAGUUUUAAGUUUGAAAGAUGCAAUUGCAUCACUCAAAGAUGAUCCCGCGUUGUAUUAGCUAGUUGGUAAGGUAAAGGCUCACCAAGGCGAUGAUACAUAGCCGACCUGAGAGGGUGAUCGGCCACAUUGGGACUGAGACACGGCCCAAACUCCUACGGGAGGCAGCAGUAGGGAAUCUUCGGCAAUGGACGAAAGUCUGACCGAGCAACGCCGCGUGAGUGAAGAAGGUUUUCGGAUCGUAAAACUCUGUUGGUAGAGAAGAACGUUGGUGAGAGUGGAAAGCUCAUCAAGUGACGGUAACUACCCAGAAAGGGACGGCUAACUACGU